AUAAUAAUGAUAAGGGCGGCCAUUAGGUCGCCCAUUUUGUCCUCUCUUAACACCUUUGGUUUGGCCGCCGAUCAGUUAAGAGCGUACAAGCUUCUGGCGUUACGCAUAGCUGGCUGUUAGCUCUAUUCCUUACUAGCUACAUGACUAACAGUUUUUGUAACCGAAACCUGAGUUUUACUCAGGUUUUUUUAU
rnacentral:sRNA from 1 species